rnacentral:misc_RNA from 1 species
CUCCAGUAACUUGGAGGCAUGCCUGUCUGAGCGUCAUUUAAAACCAUAAACUCGAUUGAGUUUGUAUUGGGCAUCGCCUCUGGGCGUAGCCUCAAAGUCAUCGGUCUUAUAUGCGGACGAGUUCCAUUAGGGCAGACCGUGUCUAGACUUUAAAACUCUGACUUGACCUCAGAUCAGGUAGGACUACCGCCUGAACUUAA